UGAUCCACCUACCUUGGCCUCCCAAAGUGCUGGGAUUACAGGCUGAGAUACCAGCCCCACCUUUUGAAUUGAGACACCGCCCCAUCUUUUGAAUUUCAAGUGGCCGCAGGCAUUAAUGAUAGAAUGUGAAUACAAUUUGAUUUGUAUUCAUAUGGAGGGAAAGUGCCUCUGACCUGUCCCCAAGGAAGGGAAAAAAGAUUGGCCUGGAGAUACUUACCUGGUGGGGGAGAUACCAUGAUCACAAAAAUGAUCUGCCCAGGGCAAGGCUCAUCCAUUGCACUCUGGAUGGGCUGACCCUUGCAAUUUCCCCAAAUGUGGGACCUCAACUGCAUAAUUUGUGGUAGUGGGGGACUGUGUUUGUGUUUUCUCCUAGUAAUGAAGGAAAAGAAAAAAGAGACUGUCCUGGAGAGAUGAGGACUGAGAAACCCAACCCAGCCCCUGGCUCCAAGGAGUCCCGGCCAAGCCCUGGAGACAGCCCUUAUCAGCUGCCAUCCCAGCUUCCUGUUUUUCAGUGGGCUGGGGACUGGGGCUGAAGGAACAUCUGCUUCUGUUUAUUCUUCCCCUUUAUCUUAAUGGGUUCCCUGAGAUGGCUCCCUGGGACACCUCUCACCACUGCUCUGUGUACUCAGCUCUGAAUGGACCAUCUCAGAAGCACAGAAAAGACUUGCAGUUUUGAAGAAUGAAUGGUUACACAACAGAUGGCCAGCCGGUCUAUCUAGAAGGGCCUUACAAAGGACAGUGCCUCCGUGGGGAAGGCUGGCCCUGGAUCAGACGCUGGAUCGCAGAUUUACCGUGAAUGAAGCCCUUGGAGACUGAAUGAUGUUAAAAAUUCAAAAACAACUCAGGAAAUAUUUAUUUGAAGGCCUGCUGUUCUUCAAGUCCCUGGAAUACAGACAUGAGAAGAGUCACUGCUGCCCAAGAGCUGACUGACUGUGGAGGAAGACCAUGCUAGCGGAUGACUACAUUUUCUACCACCUAGCACCAGCUCCCCCUUCUCCUGGUAAUGGUGUCUGCAGACAACCUCCUCAGUCUGUGUGCUUUCAGUGGAACUGAAUCUACCCCUGGCUCAAAAGCUCAGAUUUCUGAGCCGGGGUCCCUCAUGUGAACUACAGAAUAUAGAAAGACUGAAUGACUAGUUAUACUAGAACCAUUCAAGAUGCAUAGGAGAGAACUCAGUUUGUUACACACAGGAGAUUCCUUAAAGAACUAAAAGUAGGACUACCAUUUGAUCCAGCAAUCCCACUACUGAGUAUCCACCCAGAGGAA